GUUGUCUCAACCGGCCUGUCAUCGACUACAGUCAGAAAUCUCGUCAUCUCUCAUGGCUGGAAUGCAGCUUUGUUACACGUGCGAGAUGUGUGACAUAGUCACCGCAUGAAAGUGGCGGGGAAUCGACAUCGGGGGCAGCUUCUCCUUUUCUGACCUUUUUCAAGAAACUAUCUCUAAAAAAUGGCUGUCUCCAAAGGGGAUAGCCUUCUCAUGAUUAUCAAAUAUGCCUUAAAAAUAAAGUGACACUCGCUGGA